AAAUUGAAGAGUUUGAUCAUGGCUCAGAUUGAACGCUGGCGGCAGGCCUAACACAUGCAAGUCGAGCGGUAGCACAGAGAGCUUGCUCUCGGGUGACGAGCGGCGGACGGGUGAGUAAUGUCUGGGAAACUGCCUGAUGGAGGGGGAUAACUACUGGAAACGGUAGCUAAUACCGCAUAAUGUCGCAAGACCAAAGUGGGGGACCUUCGGGCCUCAUGCCAUCAGAUGUGCCCAGAUGGGAUUAGCUAGUAGGUGGGGUAAUGGCUCACCUAGGCGACGAUCCCUAGCUGGUCUGAGAGGAUGACCAGCCACACUGGAACUGAGACACGGUCCAGACUCCUACGGGAGGCAGCAGUGGGGAAUAUUGCACAAUGGGCGCAAGCCUGAUGCAGCCAUGCCGCGUGUGUGAAGAAGGCCUUCGGGUUGUAAAGCACUUUCAGCGGGGAGGAAGGCGGUGAGGUUAAUAACCUCA
rnacentral:rRNA from 1 species